ensembl:lncRNA
AGACUUUUCGGACACAAACAUUUAUUUCUGAUCUGAGCAGGAGAUAAUGAGCCAGAAGGAUUCACAGUGGGACAGAGGAACCUCCUAAGAGUCCCAUUGCGUAGUGCUCCUCUCUCAGGGAGAGAACGAGAGAAGCAAAAAAUCCUUCUGCCCACCCUUUUGCCUUGAUGGGAGAAGAUUUUUCAUCUGAGCAUCUGCUGGAUGAUCAGACGCAUGGCAUUGCUCUGGGAGCAACAGUGGGUGGGUGGGAGACCAGCAAGGCCAGGGAGAAGGGCAGUGGUGUGGGCCUGUGAGGACGGAUGGUGGGCGGAUGCUAACAGGUUCCCCCCGCGUUGGGUCCUUUGCAGGCUCCACAGCUUCAACCUCUCAGAUGGCUCCUGUAAGCCACUCUCAUCCGCUCUUGCCAGGAACUCCAGCCUUUGGCAUCUGAAUCUGUCUGGGAAUAUUUUCACUGACCAGUGUGCUGCUGACACGAAGAUCCUCAUCCAGAGGUGUCCCAACCUCACUGAAAUCUGGCCGGGCUUGAAUGACUUCACCCUUGCAGUGGAGUGGCAGCUGAAGAACCUGCAGAGAGAAGGGCUGAAGAUGGUUUUUUGCAGUAGCUCUCUGGCAAGGCGCUGGUGCUCUGCUUGGGAAACCAUACAGAGCUGGGCAACGUGAGCUCUUGUCUGCCACAGCGAGCCCGGAGCUGCAUUUUGUAGCACAUACACGGGCAAGAAGCUUGUACAACGAGAGGCUCACUAACAGGCAGGCUCUGAUGAAUGGCAGCAGAUUGCUCACCUGCUUGGACCCUUUCUGCUGCCAGUCUGUGUCCUGUGGCUUCUUUCUUGGGGUGAUGGCAGCAACCUUUUUGGCUUGCUGCUGGCAUGACAGGACACUGAGGAAAGGGAUUGGCAGAAGGAACUGUGGCUGAAUGUUCAGGCACCCUCGCCGUGUCCAAGCCUUCCCGAAGGGAGGAAGGAAGCUGAGACAUGGUAUAUGGAGCACCCCAGUGUCAGCAUGGAGCGGUAACACCCAGAUAAGGAAGCUGAUCCAGUGCAAGGCAUAAUUACUUUGACUGCAGCCCAAAAGGGGCGGCAGAAGCCAGAAGGCCUUGCCUUGGCCCAGGGCACAUGUUUAUGUGCCAGUGCCAUCUGAUGUGAUGCAAGAGCCAUCUCCUUAUUGCUAUCCUCGAGGCAGCCUGUUUGAUACCUGCCUGCUCCGUAUCUGUCCUCUUCCUCAUGCUGAGGGGCUCAGGCUCCCACUGAGUUACUGUAGUGGUUGAGGUGCCAUUGGCUUUAGGGUUGGGAGCACCUUGCCAGUGGAUUCCCCACUUUGCCGGUCCCCAGGGAGGUGGCUGCAGGGCUCUGUGAAUGGACAGGCGGGCCGGGGGCCGAGGAGGCGUGAAGGUUGCUGGAGGAGAAUGAGUGCUCAGGGAAGGUGAGGCUGCAGGUUUGAGGGCUUCUUUAGCCUCCCUGUAGGCCCAGCAUCUCCCCUUUGCUCUUGCAAACAGGGUGCACGACCCCAUGGGUGAAUGGUGUCUCAAUGAGGGAGUGGUGGAGAGCAUCGUGUUCAGCUAAGGGCUCCCUCCAUCCGACCUUUGCCAACCAAAUGCUGUCCCAACCAACAGUCUUGGAGAUCUUGGGGAUGCUGGAAGGUCCCAAGUGGUGGCUUUUCAGUU